ACUUUAAAGAUAAGAAAUGAUAUAUUUCAGAUGCGUAUCGGGGCAAACAAUCAAGGCAUCAGAAUUAUUCUAUUCUUCUUAAACUUUAGUUUUUAUUUAGAAAUCAUAUUGAGUUUAAGCUUUUAUACAAAAUCAGAUUCUGAAUUUCAUAAAGAUUUUCAAUAGAGGCUUUCAAAAUCAUAAUUUGAAAUAUGUAUCUU
rnacentral:lncRNA from 1 species